UGGGAAUAUUGCACAAUGGGGGAAACCCUGAUGCAGCGACGCCGCGUGAGUGAAGAAGUAUUUCGGUAUGUAAAGCUCUGUCAGCAGGGAAGAAAAUGACGGUACCUGACCAAGAAGCCCCGGCUAACUACGUGCC
rnacentral:rRNA from 1 species